rnacentral:tRNA from 1 species
GGGGAUAUGGCUCAGUUGGUAGAGUGCUUGCCUUGCAUGCACAAGGCCCUGGUUUCAAUCCCCAGCACCUCCA